rnacentral:rRNA from 1 species
AACAUGGUAUCAGCUUGCUGAUACCGAUGGCGACCGGCGCACGGGUGAGUAACGCGUAUGUAAUCUACCUGUAACAGAGGGAUAACCCGGAGAAAUCCGGACUAAUACCUCAUAGCACAUAUUAUUCGCAUGAGUUUUAUGUUAAAGAGAUUCGGUUACAGAUGAACAUGCGUUCCAUUAGCUGGUUGGCGGGGUUACGGCCCACCAAGGCAACGAUGGAUAGGGGUUCUGAGAGGAAGGUCCCCACACUGGUACUGAGACACGGACCAGACUCC